UCGAGAAUAUUCGACAAUGGACGAAAGUCUGAUCGAGCGACGCCGCGUGGAGGAAGAAGCCCCUAGGGGUGUAAACUCCUUUUCUCCGGGAAGAACUUCGGUGACGGUACCGGAGGAAUAAGAGGUUGCUAACUCUGUGCCAGCAGCAGCGGUAAUACAGAGACCUCGAGCGUUAUCCGGAUUUAUUGGGCGUAAAGGGUCUGUAGGCGGUUUGGUGCGUCCAUGGUGAAAUCCCUCGGCUCAACCGAGGAACUGCCGUGGAUACGGCCAGGCUGGAGGGUACGAGAGGCUGAUAGAACUCAUAGUGGAGGGGUGAAAUCCGUUGAUAUUAUGAGGAAUACCAAAGGCGAAGGCAUUCAGCUGGCGUAACCCUGACGCUGAGGGACGAAAGCGUGGGGAGCGAAUGGG
rnacentral:rRNA from 1 species